rnacentral:rRNA from 1 species
AACGAACGCUGGCGGCAGGCCUAACACAUGCAAGUCGAGCGCUUCCUUCGGGAAGAGCGGCGGACGGGUUAGUAACGCGUGGGAACGUGCCUCUCUCUACGGAAUAGCCAUUGGAAACGAUGAAUAAUACCGUAUACGCCCUUUGGGGGAAAGAUUUAUCGGAGAGAGAUCGGCCCGCGUUAGAUUAGUUAGUUGGUGGGGUAACGGCUUACCAAGACGACGAUCUAUAGCUGGUUUGAGAGGAUGAUCAGCCACACUGGGACUGAGACACGGCCCAGACUCCUACGGGAGGCAGCAGUGGGAAUAUUGGACAAUGGGGAAACCCUGAUCCAGCCAUGCCGCGUGAGUGAUGAAGGCCUUAGGGUUGUAAAGCUCUUUCGCGGAAGAUAAUGACGGUACAAGAA